GCCUCAAUAGCACAGUGGUAGUUGCGCUCCGCUCGUACAACAAUUUCGUGCGUCACGGAGAGGUCGGGUGUUCGAUCCACCUUUGAGGCA